AUGUUGCUCUCCAGCGUGAUGAAGGUGGUCUUGGCUUUAAUAUGCUUAGAAUUCAGUAUUGCCCAGAAGGUAAAUCAAGAUCAACCAGAAAUGACAGUGCAAGAAGAGAAGACAGUUACUCUGCCCUGCACAUAUGAUACCAGUGAUUCAAGUUUUGGCCUAUUCUGGUACAAACAACCCAGCAGUGGGGAGAUGAUUUUCCUUAUUCGUCAGGAUUCUUACAACCAGCAAAAUGCAACUGAAGGUCGCUAUUCAUUGAACUUCCAAAAGGCAGCUAAAUCCAUCAACCUUGUCAUCUCUUCUUCACAGCUGGAGGACUCAGCAGUGUAUUUCUGUGCACUGAGAGAAGCCACAGUGAGAGAAAAGUCACAAGAAGACAUAAAAAAACCAGCAUCCAGCUUAAGAAACCCACCUGUUGUAGGGCCUGAGGGGGGGAAAUCACAGACACAGACAGGAAGUGGCUAG